UGGAGGGCAAGUCUGGUGCCAGCAGCCGCGGUAAUUCCAGCUCCAAUAGCGUAUAUUAAAGUUGUUGCAGUUAAAAGCUCGUAGUUGAAUUUCGAGAUCAGUACGCUGGUCGUGCCUUCGGUAUGCACUGGUGUCACUGGUUUCUCCCUUCUGAAGAACCGUCAUGUCAUUAAGUUGGUGUGGCGGGGAAUCAGGACUGUUACUUUGAAAAAAUUAGAGUGUUUAAAGCAGGCUCGCGCUUGAAUACAUUAGCAUGGAAUAAUGAAAUAGGACGUUUGACCCUAUUUUGUUGGUUUCUAGGAUCGACGUAAUGAUUAAUAGGGAUAGUUGGGGGCAUUAGUAUUCAAUUGUCAGAGGUGAAAUUCUUGGAUUUAUUGAAGACUAACUACUGCGAAAGCAUUUGCCAAGGAUGUUUUCAUUAAUCAAGAACGAAAGUUAGGGGAUCGAAGACGAUCAGAUACCGUCGUAGUCUUAACCAUAAACUAUGCCGACUAGGGAUCGGAUGAUGUUAAUUUUUUAAUGACUCAUUCGGCGCCUUACGGGAAAC
rnacentral:rRNA from 1 species